AGCUUGUUGAACCGCUUACAAUAUACAUUUUAACUUGUUACAAGAGGCUCAAGAGGGGUAAACAAGAACAGCAAUUAGUUCGGAAAUGAGGAUAAUCAACAUCCGUAAUCAAAGUUAGCAGAACCGAAGCACAGUUAUUGUUUCCUGCCUUUCGUUCCUGGACGUAAUUAUACGGUAGUUCAUUCAUUUAAGUGUACCAUGAACGAUAUAUACACAUACUCGCAAUUAAUUUUCAAAACAUCCUUACUAUAUUGUCUUUCUUAGACACCGUAGACAUUUGUGCUAACUUGUUUUGGUGUAAUUCCAUGUCAGAAAUUAAAUGUUUGGUGUAUUCAUAAUUACUAAAUUACUUUGAUUAAUUACUUCUAUUAGGUUUCAAGAACACGACAACUGCUGUUUCCUGCAAUACAUACGUUGCCAUUUAGAUCUUCACAAUUAUCGAAAACUGAAGCUAAAGAUGAAAGAAGAUGUUACGAAAUUACAUGAUGACUAAAUAUAAUCGCCUUCACCCAAUCGUUCACCAUUUCAUCGAUGAAAACGUAACAAGUGCAACAUGUGAAAAAGUUGUUUCAUCCGUCUUUACUGGUUUCGUAUGACUAGAGUUCAUGUUUUGGAAGCCUUAUAUCUGUAUAUUCAUAUACCCACUAGUUAGCACCAGACAUCACUGAAAACUGUAGUUUCCAAAAUACAAUUGUUUUUCAAACCAGGAGUUUGAUCAGAUAAUUCGGAUCAGAUAAAUCUAUAAUGAGUUUAUUUAUAACCACUGUGUCGAUGCCACUGUUAGUGAAGUUUGUAUUCCACGAGGGUAUCACUAGCCCACUAGUCAGCACUCAUGUGUUGGCAUGAAUUAUCAUUGAUAUGGUUAUAUUCAUAAAUUAACUGUUAACAAAACUUUGGAAUUUUUGAAAUACUGAAGCUUUUCUACCUCAGGAAUAGAUUACCUUAGCUGUAUUUGGAAAAACAUUUAGACACUUUAGUUCGCAAUGCUCUUCAACUUCGAACUUCAUUUGACCUUUUAAACCUUUUGAUUCGAGCGUCACUGAUGAGUGAAGACGAAACGCGCGUUUGGCGCAAAUACACAUAUUUAAUCCUAGUAUCUGUGAAGAGUUUAUUUAUAAAAUGCUCAAAUAUUUAAGCUUUCUUGGGUGUCAAAAUGUUCAGUUUGAAGGUAAAAAAAACUAAACGGCUUUAGGCACAAUAUAUUGAAAAAGUGUUAUUUUUAUUUUCUAGCAUUAGGUCAAUACCCGGUGGACUGUUAUUUGCCUAAGUGUAUCAUCAUCUUGCACGUACAUAAUUUGUAAUAUACCUUUUGAGAUUUCUCCG
rnacentral:lncRNA from 1 species